AUGAACGCUAGCUACAGGCUUAACACAUGCAAGUCGAGGGGCAGCAUGGUCUUAGCUUGCUAAGGCCGAUGGCGACCGGCGCACGGGUGAGUAACACGUAUCCAACCUGCCGUCUACUCUUGGACAGCCUUCUGAAAGGAAGAUUAAUACAAGAUGGCAUCAUGAGUCCGCAUGUUCACAUGAUUAAAGGUAUUCCGGUAGACGAUGGGGAUGCGUUCCAUUAGAUAGUAGGCGGGGUAACGGCCCACCUAGUCUUCGAUGGAUAGGGGUUCUGAGAGGAAGGUCCCCCACAUUGGAACUGAGACACGGUCCAAACUCCUACGGGAGGCAGCAGUGAGGAAUAUUGGUCAAUGGGCGAGAGCCUGAACCAGCCAAGUAGCGUGAAGGAUGACUGCCCUAUGGGUUGUAAACUUCUUUUAUAAAGGAAUAAAGUCGGGUAUGGAUACCCGUUUGCAUGUACUUUAUGAAUAAGGAUCGGCUAACUCCGUGCCAGCAGCCGCGGUAAUACGGAGGAUCCGAGCGUUAUCCGGAUUUAUUGGGUUUAAAGGGAGCGUAGAUGGAUGUUUAAGUCAGUUGUGAAAGUUUGCGGCUCAACCGUAAAAUUGCAGUUGAUACUGGAUAUCUUGAGUGCAGUUGAGGCAGGCGGAAUUCGUGGUGUAGCGGUGAAAUGCUUAGAUAUCACGAAGAACUCCGAUUGCGAAGGCAGCCUGCUAAGCUGCAACUGACAUUGAGGCUCGAAAGUGUGGGUAUCAAACAGGAUUAGAUACCCUGGUAGUCCACACGGUAAACGAUGAAUACUCGCUGUUUGCGAUAUACAGCAAGCGGCCAAGCGAAAGCGUUAAGUAUUCCACCUGGGGAGUACGUUCGCAAGAAUGAAACUCAAAGGAAUUGACGGGGACCCGCACAAGCGGUGGAGCAUGUGGUUUAAUUCGAAGCAACGCGAAGAACCUUACCAAGUCUUGACAUCCCUCUGACCGUUCCUUAACCGGAACUUUCCUUCGGGACAGGGGAGACAGGUGGUGCAUGGUUGUCGUCAGCUCGUGUCGUGAGAUGUUGGGUUAAGUCCCGCAACGAGCGCAACCCUUAUGGUCAGUUACUACGCAAGAGGACUCUGGCCAGACUGCCGUUGACAAAACGGAGGAAGGUGGGGAUGACGUCAAAUCAGCACGGCCCUUACGUCCGGGGCUACACACGUGUUACAAUGGGGGGUACAGAGGGCCGCUACCACGCGAGUGGAUGCCAAUCCCAAAAACCUCUCUCAGUUCGGACUGGAGUCUGCAACCCGACUCCACGAAGCUGGAUUCGCUAGUAAUCGCGCAUCAGCCACGGCGCGGUGAAUACGUUCCCGGGCCUUGUACACACCGCCCGUCAAGCCAUGGGAGCCGGGGGUACCUGAAGUGCGUAACCGCGAGGAGCGCCCUAGGGUAAAACUGGUGACUGGGGCU
rnacentral:rRNA from 1 species